rnacentral:rRNA from 1 species
AGAGUUUGAUUAUGGCUCAGGACGAACGCUGGCGGCGCGCCUAACACAUGCAAGUCGAACGAGAGAUGAGGAGCUUGCUCUUCAAAUCGAGUGGCGAACGGGUGAGUAACGCGUGAGGAACCUGCCUCAAAGAGGGGGACAACAGUUGGAAACGACUGCUAAUACCGCAUAAGCCCACGGCUCGGCAUCGAGCAGAGGGAAAAGGAGUGAUCCGCUUUGAGAUGGCCUCGCGUCCGAUUAGCUAGUUGGUGAGGUAACGGCCCACCAAGGCGACGAUCGGUAGCCGGACUGAGAGGUUGAACGGCCACAUUGGGACUGAGACACGGCCCAG